CGGUGCUUAGAGAAGGGUGACACUCUAUCUCAUUGUUCGCGAAGCACAGUUUCCAACCUCCUCAUUCCUCGACAUCCUCGCACGCAUUCGUAGAUACGGCCACGGAAGCGUCUGUCCUGUGGGUGGAACGGCGUUGAUGAAACCCCUACGCACUUAAAAUAGCAAAUAAGCAGAGAAAGAAGAGCAACCCACGGGCCAACUCGCUUCCCCGUCGUGUGCCAAGGACGACGAUAGUGUGAGUGUGCCGAUCUCCAUGUAGAGAGAAACAUGGACUUAUGCGACGUGUAUUUGUACUGUGUCAAUCUCGAAGGCUGCUUCGUGCCUGCGCUGCGGUUUUUGCCCGAUGCCAAGCCUAGUUACCAGCACUGGGGAGUGAUAUUCCACUAUGUCAUUGGUUCCUCCUACAUCUGCGAGGCAAAGAUGAAUACAAAGGGGAAGCUCGAGGGUGACCUGCGCGCUCUGACGGAUACCGAGAAGCUGGGACGAAGACAGGUAUUUUUGGGUCGACACGAAAUACCAGUGGAGUGCUUGCAGUCCAUCGUCGAAGGAAUGCGAAAGAAACUGAAGUACUACACGAUUACCAAGAAAAAUUGCCAGUUCUGGGCGACGGACCUGCUCGAACGGUUGGGCAUACAGGUCCCCCUGUCAGCGUUCGAAGACACCAAGUUAGGCAGGAUCACCAACAAACCGUUACUCGGGUGAACGAAUCCAGGAGGUCACACAGCGUCCAGGAAUGCAACGUGAAUCAUUUAUCACAUUGUGCUUCGUGUAUGCGCGAACGGACUGCCCAGUGCUUGUCUCCUGCAUGACAGUGACUAGAGAUUUUGACAGGUGCAGAUAUUUUGUGUGUUAAUGCCUCGACGUUGACUGCAGUUUUCUCAGGUGUGAUAUGGAAGCCCAUGUGACCUUCUCGUAGUGUGCGCUGGAUUUUGGGUACAUUUUGUAUGAAACUAGUUGUUGAAAGAACGAAAGAUGAUUGUAUAGUGAUCAA